AGAGUUUGAUCCUGGCUCAGAGCGAACGCUGGCGACGUGCUUAACACAUGCAAGUCGAACGCGCAGCAUUCUGUAGCAAUACAGGGUGUGGGCGCGUGGCGAACGGGUGCGUAACACGUGGAUAACCUUCCUUCAGGUGGGGAAUAACCCAGUGAAAAUUGGGCUAAUACCGCAUAACAUGACGAUGCCACAUGGUGUUGUCUUCAAAGCCGCAAGGCGCCAGAAGAGGGAUCCGCGGCCGAUUAGCUUGUUGGCGAGGUAAUGGCUCACCAAGGCUUUGAUCGGUAGCCGGACUGAGAGGUUGGCCGGCCACACUGGAACUGAGACACGGUCCAGACUCCUACGGGAGGCAGCAGUGGGGAAUCUUGCACAAUGGACGAAAGUCUGAUGCAGCAACGCCGCGUGGGGGAUGAAGCUUUUCGGAGUGUAAACCCCUUUCGACCCG
rnacentral:rRNA from 1 species